rnacentral:rRNA from 1 species
UGGGGAAUCUUGGUCAAUGGGCGCAAGCCUGAACCAGCGACGCCGCGUGAGUGAUGAAGGCCUUCGGGUUGUAAAGCUCUGUGGGGAGGGACGAAAGACUGAGGUCUAAUAGGCUUCAGGUUGACGGUACCUCCUUAGCAAGCACCGGCUAACUCUGUGCCAGCAGCCGCGGUAAGACAGAGGGUGCAAACGUUGCUCGGAAUCACUGGGCGUAAAGGGCGUGUAGGCGGGAAGGAAAGUCAGAUGUGAAAUCCCCAGGCUCAACCUGGGAACUGCAUUUGAAACUCCCUUUCUUGAGUACCGGAGAGGAAAGUGGAAUUCCUGGUGUAGAGGUGAAAUUCGUAGAUAUCAGGAGGAACACCAGUGGCGAAGGCGGCUUUCUGGACGGUAACUGACGCUGAGACGCGAAAGCGUGGGGAGCAAACA